rnacentral:rRNA from 1 species
AUUGAACGCUGGCGGCAGGCCUAACACAUGCAAGUCGAGCGGAGCGGCGGACGGGUGAGUAAUGCCUAGGAAUCUGCCUGGUAGUGGGGGAUAACGUCCGGAAACGGGCGCUAAUACCGCAUACUAUCAGAUGAGCCUAGGCCGGAUUAGCUAGUUGGUGGGGUAAAGGCCUACCAAGGCGACGAUCCGUAACUGGUCUGAGAGGAUGAUCAGUCACACUGAGACUCAAACGCGGUCCAAAGACCUACGGGAGGCAGCAGUGGAGAAUAUUGAACAAUAGGCGGAAGCCUAAUCCAGCCAUGCCGCGUGUGUUAAGAAGGUCUUCGGAUUGUAAAGCACUUUAAGUUGGGAGGCGUUACCGACAGAAUGAGCACCGGCUAACUUCGUGCCAGCAGCCGCGGUAAUAC